GCAAGAAGGCCUUCAUCAGAUGCAAGAAGAUACAAGUGCCGUGCCCUUGGACUUCUUGACCUCUAGAAUGAGAUAUUUGCACAGUGCCUUAGCCCUGCACGUGAUGUUCUGUGGAUCUGAAGUGUGGACCUGAGAUCUGCUGGAGUCUUAGUUCGGGGCACCUGUGGCAUGUAGGCGCUUGUCACACUGCAGGAAGCUGCAGCACAGGCAAAAUGAUGACCUGCACAGAGGCUACUGCAACCGUCUUUUAAAGAAUACUUCUACAAGGACAUCUGUGCAGCAUCUAUCAGCCCAACUUGGGACUGAUGCCACCCUUGUUAUUGAUUCUUAUAGCCAAGGGUUAUUGUUGCAAAACAGCUUAUAUAAUCUCUGUCACUUUGCCUUUAAAAUUUUCCCCUUGCCUCAGCCUCUUUGAAUAUGCCCACGUGUGUACCCAUUACACUGCUAUUUUGAAUAAACACAUUAUCUUUGGAGCCUCUCUAUUUGUUGGAUAAGUUGACAUAAAUAACAAAUGCUCAUGUAUGAGCAUGGAAAAGGUCGUGAAUAGAGCCAGUACCACCUACGUUUAAGGCAAGGAUCGAGGAAAAGAAGCUCAUGAAAACCUUUUCAGUGCAACAAACAAAGAGGCAGAGGAACGUUAGGAGAAGGUUGGCAUCUGGGCGAGUUUGUAAAGCUUCAAGAUUGUCAAGCAUGCCUGGAGAUCAAGGAUAUCAUGGACUUGAGCAAUAUGGAGUUGGCUGGUGACCUUGUGCUGGGGAUUGAGCCCAAGGCCUCUGGCUUGCUAAGCAAGUAUUACUGCAAUGAGCUACGCUCUCAACCCUGCUGAACAGUUUCUAGGCAAAGGGGCACUAGCCUGGAAAUGAUUCCUUCAUUCCCAAAUUAUUUGUCUUUAAUUUUGGACAUCUGCAAAAGCAGUAUUUCUACUGUCCAUCAAGCCUUGAACAUUGAAGUUUACUGUUUCAAACAUGGAAUGAAGCAUGUGUAUUUGAGGGACAGGGCCACAGAGCUCACUUCCAGUGUAAGGAGUUACGUGUGCCCCAGCUGGAGCAAGUAGGCUUAUCGAAAGAGUACUCUCGAGGUUAGUACAACUUCCCCUUGCAAAUCCAGGUGACUCAUUUGCGUACUUGGAGGUGACAACUCUGGGAAAGUGACUGACUACUCACUGACUAUUUUUGUAUAAGCUCAGGUACCUAAAGCUUAGGCCUUCUAGUACCUAUCAUUUUUGAAGUUGUAAGUGAAGGCUCAAUUUUAAGGACAAAGGAAAAAACACCCUCUGCAGUGAGAAUAACUUGACACAAGAAUUCCUCAGAAAGAACUAUGUGAAUUUUCAUAAAUUCUUUGAAGUUAUUCUUGAAUGACUGACUUCAUUGUCCAAGGACUCCAAGCAAGGAGUUGGAAUUUCCGACUCUUUGCCACACUACAGGAUCACAAGCAGAGUUUUCAAAGUAAUUCGUUUAUUACCGAUCACAGGGCCACAAGGUAGAGAUUUUAUGGUUUAUCCUUAUUUACUAAAAUUUUAGGUAUUAUUGUUUUGAUUUAAAUUCUGCUAGUUAGUGGUGUUAGUGGUCAAGGCUGGUGCUAGCCAACGUGAAGUGUCCCAUGUCUGGACAGCUUAUUCUCUGCGGAGGGGGAGAUACUGUUUCUGAUUACUGCUCUCUCUUCUUGUGGACAGAGUUUCAUUUGGUAGAGGUGCUGCCCCUUUUUGCUCUGCAUUCAGGAUUUGAAAUAAUCCAUCCUACCAAGGCAGAUGGGGGCAGACGUAUGGAGAAUGGUCAUCCACCGGUAGGAGCCAAUCAUGAUAACUCACCUCCUCUGUCCCUAAUAGGUUUGUAGGAAAACUCACCUUCUAAAGGACAGCUGGCUUCUUCUUUGGGGUGGAGAGCCGAUCCUUUAGCCCUGAGCUUCUUUUAAUUAUAACAGAAGUCCAAGAGCAGUAUCUGUCACCCUGUUUCACACAAUCCUUUCCUAGAUCCAUCUUAUUCACUCUGACCUGGCACCAUGAGCCGUGGGCCUGGCACACCUUGGGAAAGAAAACCCCUACUCCAAGAAAACUCCAAAAGGAGGGAAGCGCGGCAGUCAUGUAUCUGAGUCAGAAGACCCCUGAGCACAGGAAGAAGAAAUGCCAGAUGUAGAAAUCGACAUUGACGAUCUUCUGGAUGCAGACAGUGAGGAAGAGAGAGCUUCAAAAUUACAGGAAGCUCUUGUGGACUGCUACAAACCAACAGAGGAAUUUAUCAAAGAGCUGCUGUCCCGGAUAAGAGGCAUGAGGAAACUGAGCCCUCCGCAGAAGAAGAGUGUAUGAUUCUGAACAGGGUGGAAAUCUCUCUAAGACAAAGAAAGGCCCUGCAAUGUAGACUUCAUGAAGACUUUUAUUAAACAAUAGUUGUUCUUAUGAAAAACUUUUUUUUGGUGUGUGGGGAGGGACUCUAUUAGACUUUUAUUCAGAAGUGUUCCUUUUUUGUUGUUUUUUUAAAAAGGCUUUUAUUAGUGUAAUAUUUUAAUAGAAAAGAUAUCAUGACUCUGACUUCAGCCUAACCAAGGAUGAUCAAAGCAGGUAGACAUCCAAGGAUAGGUCAGGCCAGGCUGUUUUCUGCAAAGACUCAGAUACUUAGGUCCUUAUUAUACAGGGAAGAUGGUUUUCUUACAACCAGUUUGGUAAUAAUUUUUCUUAAGUUGUACAUUUGACUCAGAUGUCUAGCUUCUUGUACUUGUAUAUAUCUACACACUACUAAGUUAAAACGUAGAUGUGAGUUUUAUUUCAUAUUGAUGGAAUAAGCUUGUGGACAUCCUUUCAUGGGAGGUCACAGCACAUGGGUUUUUCAUGAGGCCAUGAGGCAUUCUUCGUGUGAAUGCUGUUGACCUUCAACAUUUACUUUCUGCACCAAAGUGAAAUGAGCUACACUACAAAAAUGUUGAGUUGGUCAAGGGCUUAAUUUCUGAACUUUCUAUUGUUUCCUUGGUUGGGAUGCUUUGCCAGAUCAUGUACUUUUUGCCUCAUUUGUGGUUGUUUAAAGUUUUAUGAACCCUUAAUUUGAAGAACUAACUUGAUUUCUAGAGAAAUGCCCGUGCUCUCUGGGUGGUAUCUUACAAUGGAAAAAAGAGUACGGUGUAGCAGUGAGUUCUCUGCUUUCAACCAAAUGCUGUGUAUUAUUCUCUCUCCAUGAAAGCAGGUCUGAGGAAGUUAGUAGAUUGAGUGUCUUCCUCCUCAAAGAUAGAUUCUGGUUCCUUCUGCACAUGGGUAGUGUCAGACCAGAAGUAUGAACUGAGUGUUGAACAAGUAUAAAGAUGAAAAUACAUCAUCUUCUUUUGCUGACUGUUGAUACAGCAGAGUGGCAGGUUCAGCAGCAUGGUUGCAUUUCUAGUUUUUCUCAUUGGCUCAUGUGGAGGAUUCUGGGGUGCCUGGCCCUAAUUUUAACCUUAAUCUCCAUGCUUGGAGCAAGGCCCAAACACCUGCCCUGCUCCGUUAGCUACAUACCAGAUCUCUGGAGAAGAAUUAAAAUUCAGAUGGCAUGUGGGAGGGGCAAGAGAUGAGAGGAGAAACUCUUCCUGCUCUUCAGGAGGUCCCUGCUGCCUCCUCAUGGAAACCCCACCUACUGUAAGAUGUCUCUAGGUGGCCCUGUCAGAGGACAGGGACCAGGCAUUUUAUAUCAAGGGUGCUUUGAACAUAUUUUAUUUUUUAAGAGAACUAUGUUUGUGAAUUUUAUGUAUACUGGCAAGCUUUUGAAAAUGUAUUUAAUUUUGUAAUGUUUACCAAUGAUUUAUUUACAAGCUAUUUACUCAAAUAAAUGGAGCUGCUUACAAA